rnacentral:rRNA from 1 species
AGGAGCUUGCUCUUCAAAUCUAGUGGCAAACGGGUGAGUAACACGUAAACAACCUGCCUUCAGGAUGGGGACAACAGACGGAAACGACUGCUAAUACCGAAUACGUUCCUUAGGUCGCAUGACUUUAGGAAGAAAGGGUGGCCUCUACUUGUAAGCUAUCGCCUGAAGAGGGGUUUGCGUCUGAUUAGGUAGUUGGUGAGGUAAUGGCCCACCAAGGCGACGAUCGGUAGCCGGACUGAGAGGUUGAACGGCCACAUUGGGACUGAGACACGGCCCAGACUCC